AGAGAGAAAUAGUUCUAUGAGAUUUGAGAGGCUAAAUCUAAAAGUCUGUGGCCACAGUAGUAUGAUUGAUGAAAAAAAAAUUUUAUGAGGAUCACAAUUGGACUUGAGCUAAUCGAAUCUAUCAUAUGACUAAUGAUGAAGUUUGAUAAUUUAUCUAUGACGUACCAUCUAGUCAGAACUCAUGAUAGAGGGACUGAAUCACAUGUAAACUAUAUAUUGAGGUUCUAUUUUGAUUCUACUGAAUUAUCACUACAUACUGCUAG
rnacentral:lncRNA from 1 species